UACCAGCACCCCGAGUGGUCGGGACGUUUAUUGGGCCUAAAGCAUCCGUAGCCGGUUCUACAAGUCUUCCGUUAAAUCCAGCUGCUUAACAGAUGGGCUGCGGAAGAUACUAUGGAGCUAGGAGGCGGGAGAGGCAAGCGGUACUCGAUGGGUAGGGGUAAAAUCCGUUGAUCCAUUGAAGACCACCAGUGGCGAAGGCGGCUUGCCAGAACGCGCUCGACGGUGAGGGAUGAAAGCUGGGGGAGC
rnacentral:rRNA from 1 species